UCCUACGGGACGCAGCAGUGGGGAAUAUUGCACAAUGGGGGAAACCCUGAUGCAGCAACGCCGCGUGAAGGAAGACGGUUUUCGGAUUGUAAACUUCUGUUCUUAGUGAAGAAGAAUGACGGUAGCUAAGGAGCAAGCCACGGCUAACUACGUGCCAGCAGCCGCGGUAAUACGUAGGGGGCAAGCGUUAUCCGGAAUUAUUGGGCGUAAAGAGUACGUAGGUGGCAACCUAAGCGCAGGGUUUAAGGCAAUGGCUCAACCAUUGUUCGCCCUGCGAACUGGGAUGCUUGAGUGCAGGAGAGGAA
rnacentral:rRNA from 1 species